AGCUUUGCGCAGGGACAGUAUUGUAGCCAAUGAGGUUUAUCCGAGGAACGAUUAUUGCUACUUAAAAUCUCGUUCAUAAUAGCAAAUUAUGAAUAUGUAUAUAUGUGUGUAAUGUAUGUAUACAAAAAUUUG
rnacentral:snRNA from 1 species